UACGGGGGGGGGCAAGCGUUGUUCGGAAUUACUGGGCGUAAAGGGCGCGUAGGCGGCCUGUUAAGUCGAACGUGAAAGCCCUGGGCUUAACCUGGGAAUUGCAGUCGAUACUACUCAGCUAGAGUAUGGGAGAGGGUAGUGGAAUUCCCGGUGUAGCGGUGAAAUGCGUAGAUAUCGGGAGGAACAUCAGUGGCGAAGGCGGCUACCUGGCCCAAUACUGACACUCAGGUGCGACGAGCGUGGGGAGCAAACAGG
rnacentral:rRNA from 1 species